rnacentral:tRNA from 1 species
GGAGGAGUACCCAAGUUCGGCUGAAGGGGAUGCACUCGAAAUGCAUUAGGACGGGCAACUGUCGCGUGGGUUCGAAUCCCACCUCCUCCG